rnacentral:rRNA from 1 species
GACGAACGCUGGCGGCGUGCCUAAUACAUGCAAGUAGAACGCUGAAGGAGGAGCUUGCUUCUCUGGAUGAGUUGCGAACGGGUGAGUAACGCGUAGGUAACCUGCCUGGUAGCGGGGGAUAACUAUUGGAAACGAUAGCUAAUACCGCAUAAGAGUGGAUGUUGCAUGACAUUUGCUUAAAAGGUGCAAUUGCAUCACUACCAGAUGGACCUGCGUUGUAUUAGCUAGUUGGUGGGGUAACGGCUCACCAAGGCGACGAUACAUAGCCGACCUGAGAGGGUGAUCGGCCACACUGGGACUGAGACACGGCCCAGACUCCUACGGGAGGCAGCAGUAGGGAAUCUUCGGCAAUGGACGGAAGUCUGACCGAGCAACGCCGCGUGAGUGAAGAAGGUUUUCGGAUCGUAAAGCUCUGUUGUAAGAGAAGAACGAGUGUGAGAGUGGAAAGUUCACACUGUGACGGUAUCUUACCAGAAAGGGACGGCUAACUACGUG